rnacentral:rRNA from 1 species
CACACGACUCUCGGCAACGGAUAUCUCGGCUCUCGCAUCGAUGAAGAACGUAGCGAAAUGCGAUACCUGGUGUGAAUUGCAGAAUCCCGUGAACCAUCGAGUCUUUGAACGCAAGUUGCGCCCGAGGCCAUUCGGCCGAGGGCACGCCUGCCUGGGCGUCACGC